AGAAAUGAUUUUAAAAGAGGAACUCUUUCGCCAUCUAGUGGCGAUUUGUCUGUAGUGCACCAGGGAAACGAAUAGGACCAUAUUAUUGGCGACAGUAAACUGUUUAUUUACGUAAGACCUGUUAAUUUCGUCUGAAGAUGAAAUAUCUGUUUGGCUGAGUGAUGACCAGCCACCUUCAGAGAAGGAAUGGCCCCUGUUGGAGCUGUUAUUGGUGGCAUUAUUCUGGCAGAGAGAUGGGCAGGACCCUGGAGGAGACUCGUGAUUCAUCUGGCAGAGGCUAGAGAGCAAAUUGGUGCUAGCAUGGUCAAGGUCAGAGGUUUGAAUCCCAGGUAACGUACUUACCAUACAUACAGAUUAUUAAAUAAAUAUACAUUUACAUUUACGAAUUUGGCAAAUAUCAAAAGUGAUUUACUGUAAAGCUAUAUUCUAUC